rnacentral:ribozyme from 12 species
UUGCAGAUUAGCGUAAACAUAAUGAAAGACGGAAAUAACAAAUCAAAAUGAGUGACUGCAGCCAACAAUUCUUUUGCUCCAAUUUUUGACAGUCCUGCAUUUUCAGUCAAUGGUUUCUCUUUCUUGGGUGGUGGCUCUUGUAAAAAGAGC